GAUAAACGCUGGCGGCGCACAUAAGACAUGCAAGUCGAACGGACUUAACUCAUUCUUUUAGAUUGAGAGCGGUUAGUGGCGGACUGGUGAGUAACACGUAAGCAACCUGCCUAUCGGAGGGGAAUGACAGUGAGAAAUCAUUGCUAAUACCGCAUAAGCUAGUAGCAUCGCAUGAUGUAGCUAGAAAAGGAGUAAUCCGCUGAUAGAUGGGCUUGCGUCUGAUUAGCUAGUUGGUGGGGCAACGGCCUACCAAGGCGACGAUCAGUAGCCGGACUGAGAGGUUGAACGGCCACAUUGGGACUGAGAUACAGCCCAGACUCCUACGGGAGGCAGCAGUCGGGAAUAUUGCGCAAUGGAGGAAACUCUGACGCAGUGACGCCGCGUAUAGGAAGAAGGUUUUCGGAUUGUAACCUAUUGUCGUGAGGGAAGAAAUUGACAGUACCUCAGGAGGAAGCUCCGGCUAACUAUGUGCCAGCCGCCGCCGUAA
rnacentral:rRNA from 1 species